rnacentral:rRNA from 1 species
GACGAACGCUGGCGGCGUGGAGAAGGCAUGCAAGUCGAGGGGUAACGAGAGGGAAGCUUGCUUUCCUUGUCGACGACCGGCGCACGGGUGAGUAACGCGUAUCCAACCUGCCCCCAACUAAGGAAUAACCUUGCGAAAGUAAGACUACUACCCUAUACUUUCCUCAGAUGACAUCUGACGAGGAAUAAAGAUUUAUCGGUUGUGGAUGGGGAUGCGUCUGAUUAGCUUGUUGGCGGGGUAACGGCCCACCAAGGCAACGAUCAGUAGGGGUUCUGAGAGGAAGGUCCCCCACAUUGGAACUGAGACACGGUCCAAACUCCUACGGGAGGCAGCAGUGAGGAAUAUUGGUCAAUGGGCGGAAGCCUGAACCAGCCAAGUAGCGUGCAGGAUGACGGCCCUAUGGGUUGUAAACUGCUUUUAUACAGGAAUAAAGUUAGCCACGUGUGGUUAUUUGUAGGUACUGUAUGAAUAAGGACCGGCUAAUUCCGUGCCAGCAGCCGCGGUAA